UACGUAGGGUGCAAGCGUUGUCCGGAAUUAUUGGGCGUAAAGAGCUCGUAGGCGGUCUGUCGCGUCGGAUGUGAAAAUCCGGGGCUCAACCCUGGACCUGCAUUCGAUACGGGCAGACUAGAGUUCGGUAGGGGAGACUGGAAUUCCUGGUGUAGCGGUGAAAUGCGCAGAUAUCAGGAGGAACACCGGUGGCGAAGGCGGGUCUCUGGGCCGAAACUGACGCUGAGGAGCGAAAGCGUGGGGAGCAAACAGG
rnacentral:rRNA from 1 species